rnacentral:rRNA from 1 species
UACACACGUGCUACAAUGGUCGGUACAAAGGGUUGCCAAGCCGCGAGGUGGAGCUAAUCCCAUAAAACCGAUCGUAGUCCGGAUCGCAGUCUGCAACUCGACUGCGUGAAGUCGGAAUCGCUAGUAAUCGUGAAUCAGAAUGUCACGGUGAAUACGUUCCCGGGCCUUGUACACACCGCCCGUCACACCAUGGGAGUGGGUUGCUCCAGAAGUAGCUAGUCUAACCGCAAGGGGGACGGUUACCACGGAGUGAUUCAUGACUGGGGUGAAGUCGUAACAAGGUAGCCGUAGGGGAACCUGCGGUUGGU